UUUUCAGCUGGUAUGGCUUGGCAUCAAUGUGUUUCUCUUUGUGUAUUUUUACUUGGCAUUUCUGAUUGAAAGAUACUAUUAUACUAGAGUCAUCCUUGGGCAUGCUCUCUCAUGGGCCAGAGCUCCAGCUGCAUGUCUGAAUUUUAACUGCCUGUUGAUCCUGCUGCCCGUCUGCAGAAACCUGCUCUCGUUCCUGCGCGGAUCCAUUCAGUACUGUAGCCGCACUGCAGCCCGUCAGCUGGACAGAAACCUUACUUUCCACAAACUAGUGGCCUACAUGAUUGCCUUCCACACAG